rnacentral:rRNA from 1 species
CACGUAGGCAUCAAGCGUUGUCCGGAUUUAUUGGGCGUAAAGAGCUCGUAGGCGGUUCAGCAAGUCGGGGUGUGAAAACUAUGGGCUUAACCCAUAGCCUGCAUCCGAAACUGCUGUGACUAGAGUUCGGUAGGGGAGAGGGGAAUUCCUAGUGUAGCGGUGAAAUGCGCAGAUAUUAGGAGGAACACCGAUGGCGAAGGCACCUCUCUGGGCCGAUACUGACGCUGAGGAGCGAAAGCGUGGGUAGCAAACAGG